rnacentral:rRNA from 1 species
GAUGAACGCUGGCGGCGUGCCUAAUACAUGCAAGUCGAGCGAACAUACAGUAAGCUUUCUCCUCUGACGUUAGCGGCUGGCGGUUGAGUAACACGUGCAUCACAUUCUUCUUUUUCUUGGUUAAUUUCGUGAGACCGGUUCUACUACUUCCUCAUAUAUCUUACCGCUUGCUUCAAUGGUUCUACACGGUUUUGCUGUUUCUUUUAGCUGGUUCCGCGUUGCAUUAGCUAGUUGGUAAGGUAACGGCUUACCAAGGCUACGAUGCGUAUCCGACCUGAGAGGAUGAUCGGCCACACUGGAACUGAGACACGGUCCAGACUCCUACGGGAGGCAGCAGUAGGGAAUAUUGGACAAUGGGCGAAAGCCUGAUGAAGCAACACCGCGUGAGUGAAGAAGGCCUUCGGAUCGUAAAACUCUGUUGUUAGGGAAGAAAAAAAGUGGAUGUAAAUAUGGAUGUAAUGACGGUACCUAAACAGAAAGCAACGGCUAACUACGUG